rnacentral:lncRNA from 1 species
UUAAAGUUGUGCUAGAUACCAAUUAUAUGCUUAUGUAUUUUGCAACCGGUAACUGCUUUUGUUCUUUGCUUAGUUUGCAUGUUUCUGUUUAAAUUGUAUAUGAUUAAGUUUGCAUUUUACAGAAACUAUUUAAUAUAUUACCUGAGAGAUAGGUGCUAAUCAGAUCUCUUUGAAUCUGAUUCAAGGUGAUAUUUGAUUUUUGAAGACAUUUUUUAGCUGGUGCACUUUUGUGUUUAUAUUAAUUUUUUCAGAAUUUUACUGAUUAGAUCUUAAUUUAUUUUUAGACUUUGGUCAAGAUUAGGACAAACCUCUCAGCUUCUACUUUGUAUAAUUUGAAGUCCUGCAGUUGUAUUAUGUAUAAUGUGCUUUUAUGCUUGAUAAUUCAUGUGCUUUUCUAUGUGCUUAUUUGUUUGUAUUGUAAUGUGACUGUUAUUUGUUAAGUCGGCUAAUAGCUAUUCAUAGCUAAUGUUAUUAUGUUUGCAACCCGACUAUAAAUAAAAAUUUGUAUCUU